rnacentral:rRNA from 1 species
AUUGAACGCUAGCGGAAUGCUUUACACAUGCAAGUCGAACUGCAGCACGGGGCAACCCGGUGGCGAGUGGCGAACGGGUGAGUAAUACAUCGGAACGUGCCCAAUCGUGGGGGAUAACGUAGCGAAAGCUACGCUAAUACCGCAUACGAUCUACGGAUGAAAGCGGGGGAUCGCAAGACCUCGCGCGAAUGGAGCGGCCGAUGGCAGAUUAGGUAGUUGGUGGGGUAAAGGCUCACCAAGCCGACGAUCUGUAGCUGGUCUGAGAGGACGACCAGCCACACUGGGACUGAGACACGGCCCAGACUCCUACGGGAGGCAGCAGUGGGGAAUUUUGGACAAUGGGCGCAAGCCUGAUCCAGCCAUUCCGCGUGCAGGAUGAAGGCCUUCGGGUUGUAAACUGCUUUUGUACGGAACGAAAAGGCUCUGGUUAAUACCCGGGGCUCAUGACGGUACCGUAAGAAUAAGCACCGGCUAACUACGUGCCAGCAGCCGCCGUAA